rnacentral:rRNA from 1 species
UCCGUAGGUGAACCUGCGGAAGGAUCAUUAUUGAAUAAACCUGAUGUGACUGUUAGCUGGCUUUUCGAAGCAUGUGCUCGUCCAUCAUCUUUAUCUCUCCACCUGUGCACAUUUUGUAGUCUUGGAUACCUCUCGAGGAAACUCGGAUUUGAGGAUCGCCGUGCUGUACAAGUCGGCUUUUCUUUCAUUUCCAAGACUAUGUUUUUAUAUACACCAAAGUAUGUUUAUAGAAUGUCAUCAAUGGGAACUUGUUUCCUAUAAAAUUAUACAACUUUCAGCAACGGAUCUCUUGGCUCUCGCAUCGAUGAAGAACGCAGCGAAAUGCGAUAAGUAAUGUGAAUUGCAGAAUUCAGUGAAUCAUCGAAUCUUUGAACGCACCUUGCGCUCCUUGGUAUUCCGAGGAGCAUGCCUGUUUGAGUGUCAUUAAAUUCUCAACCUUCCAACUUUUAUUAGCUUGGUUAGGCUUGGAUGUGGGGGUUGCGGGCUUCAUCACUGAGGUCGGCUCUCCUUAAAUGCAUUAGUGGAACUUUUGUGGACCAUCUAUUGGUGUGAUAAUUAUCUACGCCGUGGGUGUGAAGCAGCUUUAUGAAGUUCUGCUUCUAACCGUCCAUUGACUUGGACAAUUUUGACAAUUUGACCUCAAAUCAGGUAGGACUACCCGCUGAACUUAAGCAUAUCAAUAAGCGGAGG